GACGAACGCUGGCGGCGUGCUUAACACAUGCAACUCGAACGGAAAGGCCCUGCUUUUGUGGGGUGCUCGAGUGGCGAACGGGUGAGUAACACGUGAGUAACCUGCCCUUGACUUUGGGAUAACUUCAGGAAACUGGGGCUAAUACCGGAUAGGAGCUCCUGCUGCAUGGUGGGGGUUGGAAAGUUUCGGCGGUUGGGGAUGGACUCGCGGCUUAUCAGCUUGUUGGUGGGGUAGUGGCUUACCAAGGCUUUGACGGGUAGCCGGCCUGAGAGGGUGACCGGGCAAAAUGGGAAUGAGAAAAGGGCCAGAAUACUAAGGGAGGGAGGAGGGGGGAAUAUUGCACAAUGGGAGGAAGCCUGAUGCAGAAACGCCGCGUGCGGGAUGACGGCCUUCGGGUUGUAAACCGCUUUCGCCUGUGACGAAGCGUGAGUGACGGUAAUGGGUAAAGAAGCACGGGCUAACUACGUG
rnacentral:rRNA from 1 species